rnacentral:rRNA from 1 species
GAUGAACGCUGGCGGCGUGCCUAAUACAUGCAAGUCUAGCGAACAGACGAGGAGCUUGCUCCUCUGACGUUAGCGGCGGACGGGUGAGUAACACGUGGAUAACCUACCUAUAAGACUGGGAUAACUUCGGGAAACCGGAGCUAAUACCGGAUAAUAUAUUGAACCGCAUGGUUCAAUAGUGAAAGACGGUUUUGCUGUCACUUAUAGAUGGAUCCGCGCCGCAUUAGCUAGUUGGUAAGGUAACGGCUUACCAAGGCAACGAUGCGUAGCCGACCUGAGAGAGUGAUCGGCCAUACUGGAACUGAGACACGGUCCAGACUCCUACGGGAGGCAGCAGUAGGGAAUCUUCCGCAAUGGGCGAAAGCCUGACGGAGCAACGCCGCGUGAGUGAUGAAGGUCUUCGGAUCGUAAAACUCUGUUAUUAGGGAAGAACAAAUGUGUAAGUAACUAUGCACGUCUUGACGGUACCUAAUCAGAAAGCCACGGCUAACUACGUG